GAUGAAGAACGCAGCGAAAUGCGAUAAGUAAUGCGAAUUGCAGAAUUCCAGUGAGUCAUCGAAUCUUUGAACGCACAUUGCGCUCUUUGGUAUUCCGAAGGGCAUGCCUGUUCGAGCGUCAUUAUCACCCCUCAAGCCCUCGGCUUGGUGUUGGACGGUUUGGUGGAGGCCCCCUCGGGGGCUCCUGCCCCUCCCAAAGACAAUGACGGCGGCCUCGUUGGACCCCCGGUACACUGAGUUCUUCACGGGACACGUAUCGGACACAUGGGUUUACGGGACACGGUCUGCCUCCCCUCAGGGAGAAUCUUUCUAAGGUUGACCUCGGAUCAGGUAGGGAUACCCGCUGAACUUAAGCAUAUCAAUAAGCGGAGGA
rnacentral:misc_RNA from 1 species